CCACGCAUCUUCUUAUUGGGCCCAGGCCUCUUCAGGGUCAGGGAUAGGCCCAGGCCCACAUCUCUUCUUGUUAGGGCCCAGGCCUCUUCAGGAUCAGGGAUAGGCCCAGGCCCAUAUCUCUUCAUGUUGGGCCCAGGCCUCUCAGGGUCAGGGUUAGGCCCAGGCCCAUAUCUCUUCUUGUUAGGGUCCAGGCCUCUUCAGGGUCAUGGGUAGGCCCAGGCCCACAUCUCUUUUUGUUGGGCCCAGGCCUCUUC